UACGUAGGGUGCGAGCGUUAAUCGGAAUUACUGGGCGUAAAGCGUGCGCAGGCGGUUCGUUAAGUCAGAUGUGAAACCUCCAGGCUCAACCUGGAGACGCCACCCGAUACUGCUGUGACUAGAGUCCGGUAGGGGAGCGUGGAAUUCCUGGUGUAGCGGUGAAAUGCGCAGAUAUCAGGAGGAACACCAGCGGCGAAGGCGGCGCUCUGGGCCGGAACUGACGCUGAGGAGCGAAAGCGUGGGGAGCAAACAGG
rnacentral:rRNA from 1 species